UAUCCGGAUUUACUGGGUGUAAAGGGAGCGUAGACGGUUUUGCAAGUCUGAAGUGAAAGCCCGGGGCUUAACCCCGGGACUGCUUUGGAAACUGUAGAACUAGAGUGCAGGAGAGGUAAGUGGAAUUCCUAGUGUAGCGGUGAAAUGCGUAGAUAUUAGGAGGAACACCAGUGGCGAAGGCGGCUUACUGGACUGUAACUGACGUUGAGGCUCGAAAGCGUGGGGAGCAAACAGGAUUAGAUACCCUGGUAGUCCACGCCGUAAACGAUGAUUACUAGGUGUUGGUGGGUAUGACCCAUCGGUGCCGCAGCAAACGCAAUAAGUAAUCCGCCUGGGGA
rnacentral:rRNA from 1 species